rnacentral:lncRNA from 1 species
CUCAUAGUAGUUUUGAUUUGCAUUUCUCCAAUAAUGAGUGAUGUUCAGCUUUUUUUUCAUGUGCUUGUUGGCUAUCUGUAUAUCAUCUUUGCAAGAAAUGUCUAUUCAGGUUUUUGCCCAUUUUUUUCUAUUGGGUUGUUAGCUUUUUUGCUGUUGAGUUGUAUAAGUUGUUUGUAUAUUUUAUAGUUUAAGCCCUUAUCAGUUGCAUCAUUUGAAACUAUUUUCUCCUAUUCUGUAAGUUGUCAUUUUUUUUAAAAAAUGGUUUCUCUUGCUGUGCAAAAGCUUGUCAUUUUGAUUAGGUCCCAUUGGUUUAUUUUUGCUUUGAUUUCUGCUGCCUUUAGAAACUGACCUGAGAAAACAUUUGUAAGGUUGAUGGCAAAGAAUGUUUUGUCUAUGUUCUUUUCUAGGAGUUUGAUGGUGUCUUAUCAUAUGUUUCAGUCUUUAAGAGAUUUUGUGUUUAUUUUUGUGCAUGGUGUGAGGGUGUGUUCCAGCUUCAUUGAUUUACAAGCGGCUGUCCAAUUUUCCCAACACCACCUGCUGAAAAGACUGUCUUUUACCCAUUUUGUAUUCUUGCCUCCUUUGUCAAAGAUUAAUUGACCGUAGGUGUCUAGGUUUAUUUCUGGGUUCUCUAUUCUGUUCCAUUGGCCUGUAUGUCUGUUUUGGUACCAGUACCACACUGUCUUGAUUACUGUGGCUUUGUCGUAUUGCCAGAGCAGAGGGAAUUUAAUAUCUGCACAUCUGUUCAACUUGCAAUGUGUCAGAUACAAAAAUAUAAAUAAUAUAAUUUACUAGACAUUUCUGGGUAAUGGCAUAAUUCCUACUAAAAUUAGCUAUUGGAAUCAGCUUAUUUCUUUUUAGACUGAAACCUCAAAAUAAAUACAGGGAUAUGAUAUUAAUUAUGAAAUACAGAAUUUGAUAACUACUCCUUAGAUUUAGAAAUCAGCAAAACAAACAUAAAUUUAUUCUCCUUCUUCUUAUAAAUUCAAAGUCAGCUAAAUUUAAGUUCUUUUAUUACACUUUGAUGAAACAAUUUGGUGUAAAAUUCCAAAAAUAAUUUGGUCUACCUAUAAGGAAGUUUUAGGAUGAAAUCUUUAGUUAUGCUUGGUUGCCCUCUCAAUAACAUUAUAUUUUCUCUCAUUUUCCCUUUAUCUUUAAAAAUCUUUAUCAAAUUCAUUAUGUAUAAAUUAUAAAAUCUGUUAAUAUACUAAUGACAAUUUUUCUCUUAAGUGAUAAUAUCACAUUUGGAUUAAUCUUGUACAGUUACCACUUAAAUAUUGAACUGUGUGCAGGAGUGGAUAUGAAUGUACUAGAACUUUUUAAUAUUCAGUGUUGUAUAGAAACAUCCCUAUUUAUUGUUGAGUUUUUGAUAAUUUUUAAGUAAAUGAAAUGUACUUGGGUUGCUACUUGUUUUUCAAUUAACAUUAUUUUUAGUUAUAGAAUGAACUGGAAAAGCAAAUACUUUUGUGUUCUACUUUCAAAUGUGAUGCAUCAAAAUAAGGGAUGUUUUGACAGAAAAAAAGAAAUCUUGUUCAGCCCUUGUCAGCAUCAGUCAAUUCCUUCAUUUGUAGGAGAACUUGAGGAAUAUUUAGUGAAUAGCUGACAAAUAGACUACAGGGCAUAUCUAAUUAGUAUUUUUUUUCUUCCUGGACUAUAUAGAGAAGAGAAGGUAAUUACAGAAACCUAAAGUUUAGUCUUCAAAUUGAAUCCCAACUUAAAUGUAGUUUAAAACCUUUAUCCCUUUAAGCUCACGUCUCUUACUGCCUUUUGAUUUCUUUGGUGGUUCAUCCAUAUUAAUGUACCUAAUGACAGACACCCUGAAAAGGUGAGAAUGAAUGCUUUUCCUCUGACAUAUCAGCAGAGGUUGAUGCUACAAAGCGUGUCUUUCAAUGUGUAUCUGCAUGGACUCUGGGUCUGAGAGAAUGAUAUAUACUUCUACUUUAUGCCUGCAAGAUUCAAAAGGCCUUUUCAAAUAUUCAUGUCGUCUUUUUUUUUUUCUUUUUUAUUCUCUACUGGUAUGUGUUAUGUGAUGAGAGAAUGUCAGUGUCUCUGGAGUUUUAUUUUUAAGUUGUAGUCUUGCCUGAGGGGGAAAAUAUAUUGAAAAUUUGCUGGUCAAGCUGUUCACAUUUUCUCAUAACAUGUCUAAUAAUUGCAAAGCAGUUUGUUCUAAUAAUUUAGGCAGGCCUUGCAUAGUUACCAUGAUAGAUUUUGAGGUGAGUUAUUGGACAGUGUCUGGCAUACAGUCGGUAACACCUGGGGAUAACUUUGCCUUUGUGCUGCCUGAUAUAACCAAGGAGAAGUCACAGAGAUGAGAACUUUUUUUAAGCCGGAAUUCUGAUCAGUCUUCCCUGAUCUUGUUUCAACUUUGGUUAUAACUUCCUCAUGUAUGAUAGAUCAAGUUAAUAGGAUUUGUAUUGCCAUAGGCACUACUGCCAUUUCACAUGCUACAGCAGGCAAAUGGAGAUGCUGAUUAGAAACAUAAUAAUGCAAGCACAUUUACUAAACCCAACCUUGGAGUGAAAGGGCAGUGUGUUUGUGGUUUUAUUACUGUGCCACUAACUGUGGCUGUUGUUUGUUCUUUUUAUUUUCCAUGGCUUUGAAAACUUAACGUAUGCAUUCAUAUUUUAGUAUAUCAGUUAGUUGUUUUCUUUCAUUCGAUUUAUAGACCCAAUUAUUUUUUAGGUAUUUCUUUUAAGUUUUUAGCUUCUAAGGCUCACAUUUCUCCAUUAUCCACCAGGGGAAAAAAAAAAAAGGAAUAAAAUCACCAGUUGGUGAAAAAAUUGUUUGAAGGAUGUUAGCUAAGUUAACUUAUAAAUAAUAAUUUUCCCUCAAGAAAAUCCAUGUAUUUAUUUAGCUUCAGGGAAAAUAGAAGAGGAAGGAGAAAUAACUCAUAGUGACGCAUUUCUCCUACUCCCUCCCCCACCUUUUACAAUCAUCUAUCACUUCUCUGUAUCUAUGAGCUUUUAAUUUUUUAAAGAUUUUUUAGUUUAAGUAAUAAUUGAAUAAGAAUUUUUAAAAACAUUGUUAGAAGCAAUGAAAGAAUAAAUCAGUUUAAAUAUAUUUCUUGUUCAUGAUCAAAAGGCACAAUAUUAUUAAGAUGUCAAUUCUUCGUAAACCGAUUUAAAAAUCCAGUGCAAUACCAAUAAAAAUCUCAGCAAGCUAUUUUGUUGCUAUCAACAAACUUUUUUCAAAAUUGAGUAGUCUAGACAAUACUGAUGAAAAGCAGGUAGACAAACUCGUACCUCCCAAUUUCAGAUUUAUUAUAAAGCUAUAAUCAUCAAGAGAUCAUGAUAUUUGAAAACAAAUAGACAUUGAGAUAAAUGGAGUAGAAUCCAUGAGUAGACCUAUGCAAAUACAGACAACUUAACCUUGGUCAAAGGAAUAAAGACACAUUAACACAGAGAAGAUAGCCUUUUAGUCAUCAUCAACAAAUAAUGAGAGAACCAAUGGACAACCAUAAUGAAAUAAAUGAUCAAAGAUACAAACUUUGUACCUUAGACUUAAUUUCACUCAAAGCCAUUCAUUGCCUUAGAUAUAAAAUGCAAAACUGUAAAAAUUGUAGUGGAAUACAUAGGAGAAAUUCUACAUGAGUUAGAAUUGAUUGUAUUUUUGGUGUUGUAUAUGAAAAAUAAUCUAUGAAAGAGAAAAAUUUGAUGAUGUGGACUUUAUUAAAUUUAAAAUGCCCACUCUGUGAAAGUCAGUGUUCAAAGCAUAGAGAGAUAAGCCCCUAACUAGAAUAAUAUAUUUUCAAGACACACCUUUGAAGAAAGACUUGCAUGAAAAAUAUUGAAAGAACUAGGACAAUUCCACAAUCAUGAAACAAACUCCCCCAAUUAAAAUAAAUAGG